AUACUCUGGUUUCCCUUCAAUACGCAUAAAUCUUUCGCCUUUUACUAACGAUUUCCGUGGAGGGAAACAUAUGAUGAGUCUUUAAAUACUUAAAUUAUUAUUAUUAUUAUAU
rnacentral:snRNA from 1 species